rnacentral:rRNA from 1 species
UACAGAGGUCUCAAGCGUUGUUCGGAUUCAUUGGGCGUAAAGCGCUUUAGGGCGGUUCGCUAAGUCGCGUGUGAAAACUCCAGGCUCAACCUGGAGACGCCACGCGAUACUGGCGUGACUAGAGUUCGGUAGGGGAUCACGGAAUUCCUGGUGUAGCGGUGAAAUGCGCAGAUAUCAGGAGGAACACCGGUGGCGAAGGCAGAUCUCUGGGCCGUAACUGACGCUGAGGAGCGAAAGCAUGGGGAGCGAACAGG